CCUACGGGAGGCAGCAGUAAGGAAUAUUGGUCAAUGGGCGCAAGCCUGAACCAGCCAUGCCGCGUGCAGGAAGACGGCCCUAUGGGUUGUAAACUGCUUUUGAACAAGAGAAAACCUCGGUACGUGUACCGAGCUGAUAGUAUUGUUAGAAUAAGCAUCGGCUAACUUCGUGCCAGCAGCCGCGGUAAGACGAAGGAUGCAAGCGUUAUCCGGAUUCAUUGGGUUUAAAGGGUGCGUAGGCGGACCGAUAAGUCAGUGGUGAAAUCUCUCAGCUUAACUGAGAAACUGCCAUUGAUACUGUCAGUCUAGAGUAUAGAUGAUGUGGGCGGAAUAUGACAUGUAGUGGUGAAAUACUUAGAUAUGUCAUAGAACACCGAUUGCGAAGGCAGCUCACAAAACUAUAACUGACGCUGAGGCACGAAAGUGCGGGGAUCAAACAGGAUUAGAUACCCUGGUAGUCCGCACCGUAAACGAUGAUUACUCGUUGUUGGCAAUAUGACCGUCAGCGACCAAGCGAAAGCGANAAGUAAUCCACCUGGGGAGUACGCCGGNAACGGUGAAACUCAAAGGAAUUGACGG
rnacentral:rRNA from 1 species